rnacentral:rRNA from 1 species
AUUGAACGCUGGCGGCAUGCCUUACACAUGCAAGUCGAACGGCAGCGCGGGGCAACCUGGCGGCGAGUGGCGAACGGGUGAGUAAUAUAUCGGAACGUACCCUGGAGUGGGGGAUAACGUAGCGAAAGUUACGCUAAUACCGCAUACGAUCUAAGGAUGAAAGUGGGGAUUCGCAAGAACCUCAUGCUCCUGGAGCGGCCGAUAUCUGAUUAGCUAGNGGUAGGGUAAAGCCUACCAAGGCAUCGAUCAGUAGCUGGUCUGAGAGGACGACCAGCCACACUGGAACUGAGACACGGUCCAGACUCCUACGGGAGGCAGCAGUGGGAAUUUUGGACAAUGGGCGAAAGCCUGAUCCAGCAAUGCCGCGUGAGUGAAGAAGGCCUUCGG